GUCCCGUUAGCUCAGUUGGAUAGAGCACUCGCCUUCUAAGCGAGAUGUCGCUGGUUCGAACCCAGCACGGGGCACCA
rnacentral:tRNA from 1 species